GUCGCUAAUGUAGGGAGGUAAUUGGUGGGGGUGUAUUCCUGGUAUGAUUCCGUAUUCAAUGUUCUGUUCCGUGUUCCGUGUUCUAUGUUUGUUACGAAUCUGUGUGCUUUCCUCUGCUUUAUAUUCCUGCAUUCUUGCUUUACUCUGUUUUAUAUUCCUUAUGGCUGCAGUAUCUAUGUUAUGUCAUCUGCUUCUGUGCUGUACUAUGUGUUUGUUUGAUAUCUCGUAACUUGAGCCGGGCUAUGUGUUUGUGUGAUAUCUUGUGCCUUGAGCCGGGGGUCUUUCGGAAACAGCCUUUCUACUUCAUCAGAGGUAGAGGCAUGGACUGCGUACAUCUUACCCCCCCAGACCCCACUAAGUGGGAAUACACUGGGUGAAUAGAGAGGUUUACAAAGUGGCAAAGAAGGAGGCUAAGUUAGCAGUUACGACUGCUAAGACAACAGCUUUUGAGAGCUUGUAUACGGGGUUAGAGGAGAAAAGCGGGGAAAAGAGGUUGUAUAGGCUUGCUAAGGCUAGGGAGUGGAAGGGGCGUGACCUCGAUCAAGUGAAGUGCAUUAAGGGGGAGGAUGGUAGAGUUUUGGUGGAGGAUGUUCAUAUUAAGAAGAGAUGGCAGGAGUAUUUUCAUAAACUUUUUAAUGAGGAAGGGGACAGAGACAUUGAGUUAAGGGAGCUAGAGCAUUCGAAGGAGAGCCGUGAUUUCAGUUACUGUAUACGUUUUAAGGUGAAGGAGGUCAGAGAGGCUAUUCGUAGGACGAGGAGGGGUAGGGCGACGGGGCCCGACAAGAUUUCAGUGGAUUUUUGAAAGUUUGUGGAUGGGGCAGGCUUAAGGUGGUUGACUGAUUGUUUAAUGAUAUUUUCAAGACUGCGAGAAUGCCUGCGGCCUGGAGAUGGAGUAUGAUGAUUCCGUUAUAUAAAAACAAGGACAUUCAGAGUUGCAACAACUAUAGGGGUAUUAAGUUGAGUCAUACUAUGAAGAUUUGGGAG
rnacentral:lncRNA from 1 species